GUGGCCGUAGCUCAGCGGUAGAGCAUCGGAUUGUGGCUCCGAGGGUCGCGGGUUCAAGCCCCGUCGGUCACCCCA
rnacentral:tRNA from 1 species